rnacentral:misc_RNA from 1 species
GUGAAUCAUCGAAUCUUUGAACGCACAUUGCGCCUCCCUUUACGGGGAGGCAUGCCUGUCUGAGCGUCAUUUAAAUCAAUGGGCCCGAAAGGGUCCCGUGUUGGGCCUCGCCCGCGGGCGUCGCCUCAAAGGCAUCGGUCGAAAGAGCGGAUGAGAUCCACUAGGACUGACCGUUCCAAGACCCUAAACAUCAUGAAUUGACCUCAGAUCAGGUAGGGACACCGCCUGAACUUAAGCAUAUCAAUAAGCGGAGGA